rnacentral:rRNA from 1 species
GACGAACGCUGGCGGCGUGCUUAACACAUGCAGGUCGAACGGAAAGGCCCUGCUUUUGUGGGGUGCUCGAGUGGCGAACGGGUGAGUAACACGUGAGUAACCUGCCCUUGACUUUGGGAUAACUUCAGGAAACUGGGGCUAAUACCGGAUAGGAGCUCCUGCUGCAUGGUGGGGGUUGGAAAGUUUCGGCGGUUGGGGAUGGACUCGCGGCUUAUCAGCUUGUUGGUGGGGUAGUGGCUUACCAAGGCUUUGACGGGUAGCCGGCCUGAGAGGGUGACCGGCCACAUUGGGACUGAGAUACGGCCCAGACUCCUACGGGAGGCAGCAGUGGGGAAUAUUGCACAAUGGGCGGAAGCCUGAUGCAGCAACGCCGCGUGCGGGAUGACGGCCUUCGGGUUGUAAACCGCUUUCGCCUGUGACGAAGCGUGAGUGACGGUAAUGGGUAAAGAAGCACCGGCUAGCUACGUG